UACGUAGGUGGCAAGCGUUGUCCGGAUUUACUGGGCGUAAAGAGCGCGCAGGCGGUCGUUCAAGUCGCGUGUGAAAGCCCCCGGCUCAACUGGGGAGGGUCACGCGAUACUGAUCGACUCGAAGGCAGGAGAGGGUAGUGGAAUUCCCGGUGUAGUGGUGAAAUGCGUAGAUAUCGGGAGGAUCACCAGUGGCGAAGGCGACUACCUGGCCUGUUUCUUGACGCUGAGGCGCGAAAGCUAGGGGAGCAAACGGG
rnacentral:rRNA from 1 species